rnacentral:rRNA from 1 species
CGCUAGCGGCAGGCCUUACACAUGCAAGUCGAGGGGUAACAGGAGAAAGCUUGCUUUCUCGCUGACGACCGGCGCACGGGUGCGUAACACGUAUGCAACCUACCUCUUACUGGGGGAUAGCCCAGAGAAAUUUGGAUUAACACCCCAUAGUAUCACCAGUUCGCAUGUUCGGGUGAUUAAAGGUUACGGUAAGAGAUGGGCAUGCGCCCCAUUAGCUAGUUGGUGAGGUAACGGCUCACCAAGGCUACGAUGGGUAGGGGGUCUGAGAGGACUAUCCCCCACACUGGUACUGAGACACGGACCAGACUCCUACGGGAGGCAGCAGUGAGGAAUAUUGCGCAAUGGACGAAAGUCUGACGCAGCCAUGCCGCGUGCAGGAUGACGGCGCUAUGCGUUGUAAACUGCUUUUAUAUGCCAAGAAACCUUCGGACGUGUCCGAAGCUGACGGUAGCAUAUGAAUAAGCACCGGCUAACUCCGUGCCAGCAGCCGCGGUAAUACGGAGGGUGCA